rnacentral:pre_miRNA from 1 species
CAACUACUCCCUCUGUCCCAAAUUUCUUGUCUUAGAUUUGUCUAGAUACGGAUGUAUCUAAUACUAAAAUGUGACUUGAUACAUCCGUAUCUAGACAAAUCUAAGACAAGAAUUUUGGGACAAAGGGAGUACUUU